AAACCAUAUGAUCAUCUCAAUAGAUGCAGAGAAAGCUUUCGACAAAAUUCAACACCCAUUUAUGAUAGAAACCCUCCAGAAAGUAGGCAUAGAGGGAACCUUCCUUAACAAAAUAAAGGCCAUAUACGACAAACCCACAGCCAACAUCGUCCUCAAUGGUGAAAAACUGAAACCAUUUCCUCUAAGAUCAGGAACAAGACAAGGUUGCCCACUCUCACCACUCUUAUUCAACAUAGUUUUGGAAGUUUUAGCCACAGCAAUCAGAGAAGAAAAGGAAAUAAAAGGAAUCCAAAUCGGAAAAGAAGAAGUAAAGCUGUCACUGUUUGCAGAUGACAUGAUCCUAUACAUAGAGAAUCCUAAAGAUGCUACCAGAAAACUAGUAGAGAUAAUCAAUGAAUUUGGUAAAGUGGCAGGAUACAAAAUUAAUGCACAGAAAUCUCUGGCAUUCCUAUAUACUAAUGAUGAAAAAUCUGAAAGUGAAAUCAAGAAAACACUCCCAUUUACCAUUGCAACAAAAAGAAAAAAUAUCUAGGAAUAAACCUACCUAAGGAGACAAAAGACCUGUAUGCAGAAAAUUAUAAGACGCUGAUGAAAGAAAUUAAAGAUGAUACAAAUAGAUGGAGAGAUAUACCAUGUUCUUGGAUUGGAAGAAUCAACAUUGUGAAAAUGACUCUACUACCCAAAGCAAUCUAUAGAUUCAAUGCAAUCCCUAUCAAACUACCACUGGCAUUUUUCACAGAACCAGAACAAAAAAUUUCGCAA